rnacentral:rRNA from 2 species
CAGCCGCCGCGGUAACACCAGCCCCUCGAGUGGUGGGGAUGAUUAUUUGGCCUAAAGCGUCCGUAGCCGGCCGAGCAAGUCUUCCGUUAAAUCCAGCGUCUCAAGCGUUGGACCGCGGGAGAUACUACACGGCUAGAGAGUGGGAGAGGUCAGCGGUGUUCUGGGGGUAGGGGCGAAAUCCUUUGAUCCCCGGAGGACCACCAGUGGCGAAGGCUGCUGACUAGAACACGUCUGACGGUCAGGGACGAAAGCUGGGGUAGCGAACCGGAUUAGAUACCCGGGUAGUCCCAGCCGUAAACGAUGCAUGCUAGGUGUUGGGUUGGCCACGAGCCACCCCAGUGCCGCAGGGAAGCCGUUAAGCAUGCCGCCUGGGAAGUACGAUCGCAAGAUUGAAACUUAAAGGAAUUGGCGGGGGAGCAC